rnacentral:lncRNA from 1 species
UAUUCUCGCUGGUAAUCGAUCCAUCCGCGAGAUCGAUCAUUUUUCUCCUUAAAAUCUUCAACAAACUACACAUGUGGAGAGAAAGCAUCAAGGAAAUUCCGACGGUGCUACUGAGAACUGUAUAAAUGAAAAAUCCAGCCAGAAGUUGCAGCAUGAAGAUCAUCUCGUAGUAUGGACUAACUAAUUCGUUAAAAAAAGAACAUGACCAAGAUACACGGAAUCACGAUACACAUUUGCAAGGAAAUGGAGAAAAAAAUUAUAAACCAUUUUCGUAUCUUCGAGCUUAAAGAAAAUUCAAUUGGCCAAGCACCGAUUAUCUUCAAAAACGGUUGCGCGUAGAACGCUUGCUUCAAAUCUUUUUCCACGUAUUUCGUUUCCAUUAUUUCUUUCCAAUGGUUGAAAGUUCAUGAGAUUGAAUGAUAUCAAUAACAUGAUCAUGCAAAUCCCGAUUUUCCCACUUGCAAAGCAUCUCGAUCUUUCUAUUGAUAUAACCUCGAAUCGCAGCAGUGCAUCAUUAUAGAAGCAAUCAACCUGAGCACGUCCAAAAUGCACGGAGCUAUGAUACAUAUUUGCAAGAAAAAGGAGAAAGAAAUUAUAAACCAUUUUUGUAUUUUCAAACUCAAAGAAGAUUCGAUAGCGAUUGGCCAAGCACCAAUUAUCUUCAGGAACAGUUGUUCAUGUAAGAAUCAGCAGAUGCGCAAAACGAUGGCAAAUUAUGAACUUAUACCUUGCAUGCACAAUCCAGAUUAGUUCCUGUGUUUACUGGUCAUAGAUGAUAUACAUCUGUUUUAUUAUUUGAAAAUAUUUUUUGAAAAAAUAUAACAUUGAUUGUAAUAUUUGUACGAUUAUAUAUAAGAGACUUAAUUAUUUAUGAAGUGUUGAACAAUCGUGAGAUUUAAUAAUAUUUGAGUUGUGAUAUUUCUUUGAUUAUAUUGCAGAGAACAUUUGUUAUUUUUAUAUCAUUAAAGUUUCCAAAGAUAAAGUUUCCAGUGAAUAAUUAUAAAUUAUAAAAUAAUUUUAAAAAAGAAAUUUACGACAAGACACAUAGAAAAUUUAGAUAUGCUGCUGAAGUUUUAAAAACCUACAAUAAUUUUUUCGUUUUCAAGAAUUUUUACAACAAUACGUUGAAAAUAACGUAAUGAGAAAAAUACAUUGGAAUUUACAUCACAAAAUACUCGAAGCGAAAGAUCUAACAUCUUGGCGCCAGACAGGCUUGAUGGUCGACUAGCUCUAAGUGAGAUUGAAUAAUGUCAACGAUGCGACCACGCAAAUCUCGGUUUUUUAAAAUCGUCUCGAUCCUUCUGUUGGUGACCUCGAAUAGACCGCAGCAAUGCAUCGUUAUAGAAGCGAUCAAGCUGUAGAUCCCAUAAUUCAAGGACAUUAUUAGAAAACUGGUGAACAUUUGCACGACAAAGGUUAUCUCGUAAGUUGGCGAAUCUUCGAUGACGAAGAAAACAUAAUCGCUCAAAUAUGGCAAAGGUAUCUGAGUACUGUUAUCAGCUUUGACGAUCUUCUCUGAUAUCAAGGGCAAAAUAAUGUGAUAGGGCAAGGCACCUCCGUAACCGAGGAACAGAUACACGAUUGUGAAGAUUCGACCGAUUUUCGCAGUAUUCAUCAUUACCAACCGAUCUUCUUCGCAUUCCACGUCUCUGUACUGUAUCUCCAUCUCCAUCAAGCAAAAUCUGAUCUCAUUUCUGUUAAUCAGAAUCGUCCAGAUCUUGAUGAUCGCCAAAAGGCUGAAAACCUGGGCGGCUAUCACCUUCAUAUAUUUGGUCAGAUUUUCGCAAUCGAAAAUAUUACCACAGGGUAAUAUUUGGGACACGUAAGUGCACAUUUUAUUACGUAAAAUAGAUUAUCUACGUAAGGAAUUAAAAGCAUCAUUACAGAGUAUCAUUUGCGGAAACCAUCGGCGUUACUAUUCGAUAUGAAUUGAAAAAGCCAAGCAUUUCCGAUAAAAAUACGAUGCUCAGUGAUUCUCCAACCCGUGCAGAGUAUCUAAAAUUGAUUUUUUAUCACGAAAUAAAAACAUACAACUAUAAAAAUCAAUAGCCAAUCGACAAAUAAUCUAUCAGACGCAUAAC